GGGCGGUUAGCUCAGUGGUAGAGCGCUUCGUUCACACCGAAGAGGUCGCUGGUUCGAUACCAGUACCGCCCA
rnacentral:tRNA from 1 species